rnacentral:rRNA from 1 species
UACAGAGGGGGCAAGCGUUGUUCGGAAUUACUGGGCGUAAAGGGCGCGUAGGCGGCCUUCUAAGUCAGACGUGAAAUCCCUCGGCUUAACCGGGGAACUGCGUCUGAUACUGGAUGGCUGGAGUGUGGGAGAGGGAUGCGGAAUUCCAGGUGUAGCGGUGAAAUGCGUAGAUAUCGAGAGGAACACCUGUGGCGAAGGCGGCAUCCUGGACCAAUUCUGACGCUGAGGAGCGAAAGCCAGGGGAGCGAACGGG